UAGGGUUCAACCUUUUUACCUCUAUUUAUAAGAUGCAUACACGUCUCUUAUGAUUACAGUGAAACUGCCACCAAACCUCUCCCGUCGCUAUCCCUGCACCCAGCACCAUCACAGAACCAUCCUUGCUCUUUCACGGCACCCUACACGUCGGAAUCACCACACGGCGGCAACCCAUGCUUUGCAUGCUCUACCGCACACAUCACUGCCCUGCACCACCGUUUGCUAGCCACUGCCUAGUUACACUAGAGCUAACUAUCAGAAACCACUCAGCCAUCCCGUGUUUCGACCAUCUCCUGCAACCACGAGAACUAGUAACUCAAGUCCAGCUCAGCCACAUGAAACCGAAACCACCCCUGUUUUUGAUUUCCGAAAACAGAGCAAGGGAAGCUCUCCCCAUACUCUCGGUUUCCAGCCUUGCUACACUCCGGAAACUACCCAAAAAACCCACAGAAAUCGCCGUCCAUUUCCCCCUCGGGUCCGUCAUUAGGGAGGCCGCGCCACCCAGUGCCGCCCUCUUCUCCACCACUUCGCAGCGGUCUCACGGUGAGUCUCCAUUGUUAGAUCUGAUUCUAGCAUUUUCGUCCCUGUAUAGCAAAAUGUUGGGUGGGUUUUUCUUUUCGCAAGCCACCCGGGGUUGAAAACAUGGAAACUUGUAGUUAUAUUUUUUAGUUUGGGCUUCGGGCUUGUGUUCUUUUGGUUACUUUUAAUUUCUGAAUUGUUCUUUACGUAAAGAUUUUUUUUUUUUUUUUUGAAAAUCAAAUGUUUUGGUAUUGGGGUUGAGCCGUGCAUAUCGUCUUGGACUUGUGUUUAUUUGGUUCGGUUUUGGGCCGGUUACGUAGUUUUUGGUUCGGGCUUUUCUAAAUCAUUUUGGACUCGUGUUUUAAAUUAUUUUGGAGCAGAUAUUGGGGUUGCGUUAUAAAGUAAGUUUUUUUUUUUUUUAAUUUUUUUUUUUAAUAUGAAGGAGAUUGGUGUCUGAGUUCAUAUUUGAGUUAAGUAUAUUGAAUGAAUAUUGAUGAUAUUGAAAAAUGAUGAUAAUUUAGGAUUGUGAGCGCUUUGAAUUUGGAAGAAUAAGGUACUGUUUGGUCACAAAGAAUUUUCAUCUCAAAUACAAAAUUUUCAUAUUAUCAUUAUAACUUUCUCAAAUCUCCAUUAAAAAUCGAAUAAACAAUUUAAUCUUUUUUUUACUUUUUCAAAUUCCAAAACAAUAAUAAUAUUAAAAUAUAAUAUUUUAAUAUUUAAUCUUAAAAUUCAAAAUUCUCAUCUGAAAAAUCUCACUGGCCAAGCAGAACCUAAAAAUAAGGUGGUUUUUAGUAUUCCAGGUUUUAAUAUUGAGAUACAUGUUGGGUUGAAAAUUUACGAAAACUACAUGAUUAUUUUAUAGGUGAC